CCAGCUCGGUAGUGUGAGCUUGUAACCCAAAUGGGGACAUUAAAGUGGCCGAAUGUUGAUUCGCUCUACCGAGUAGGGUUUGCUGAGACGAUCUCUGGCCUACCCAUUACAAGUAGGGAGUUUUGCCUUGGGCUUUCGGCGUAAUCCAAGAUUCCAUUGCCCCUAAAAAUGGUGGGAACCGCGUCAAGCUGGUUCACAGAGCAGUGUUACCACUUGCUCUCAAUGGUAGAAGGAUUACAGGCCCGUUCUCGAUGGCCUAUCAUUACUCUGUGGGAUGUUCUUAGCCCAAUUAAUCUUUGUU
rnacentral:SRP_RNA from 1 species